rnacentral:rRNA from 1 species
UACGUAGGGGGCGAGCGUUGUCCGGAAUUACUGGGCGUAAAGCGCACGUAGGUGGUACGUCAAGUUUCGGCGUGAAAUCUCCAGGCUCAACUUGGAGGGGUCGUCGAAGACUGGCGAACGUAGGGUCUGGCAGAGGGCCGUAGAAUUCCCGGUGGAGCGGUGAAAUGCGUAGAGAUCGGGAGGAAUACCAGUGGGCGAAGGCGGCCGGCUGGGCCACGACCGACACUGAGGUGCGGA